UUCUACCUGGCGUUGGGGCGUGGUAGUCUCUGGGGAGGAAGUGAGUGAGGGCGUAGGCUCCUGCGUUCUCAACUCUGGUCUAGGCCCUCUGGCCUUGGAGGGGGAGGGAGAGGUAGCCACUCGGCCUGCUUGGGGCGGUGAGGUGGGGUGGGGGGUAGCGCAUGGGCUCGUGGAGUCCUGUGCUGCCUGGUUCUGAAACGCAGCAGUCUUGACUUCAACCUGGGCUUUCCUGUCUCCUUGACAGUGGAGGAGUGGGGCAGGGAAGCCAGGCAGCUCCCCCUUACAGCCCCAGGCCCCACUGCCCCUUCCUGAGUGAGCGCAUUCCCCUUUGCAGACAGCAAACUCCUCUGAGGGGGCAGGCUCUCCCUUCGGCUGAGAAAAGCAUUCGUUCUCCUGUUUAAUAAAAAUUAACUUUAAAAAAAGAAGAGGAAGGUGGGGAAGAUCAGAGCCGGAGAGAAAUGUGAGGACAGACGGCCACACACACACAAAGGUCAGAAAGGGGAGAAGAUGCUAUGCUGCUGGCUUUGAAGCUGGAGGACGGGGCCAUGAGCCGGAGAACGCAGGCAGCUUCUAGAAGCUGGAAAAGGCACGGAAAGGGAUUCUCCCCUCGAGCCUCAAGAAAGAACCAGCACUGUGGACCAUUUUACAUGUCUGACUUCCAGAACUGUAAGAUCAAAAAUUUGUGUUGUUUUAA